rnacentral:rRNA from 1 species
AUUGAACGCUGGCGGCAGGCCUAACACAUGCAAGUCGAGCGGGGUUUUCGGACCUAGCGGCGGACGGGUGAGUAAUGCGUAGGAAGCUACCCGAUAGAGGGGGAUACCAGUUGGAAACGACUGUUAAUACCGCAUAAUGUCUACGGACCAAAGCGUGGGACCUUCGGGCCACAUGCUAUCGGAUGCGCCUACGUGGGAUUAGCUAGUUGGUGAGGUAAUGGCUCACCAAGGCGACGAUCCCUAGCUGGUUCGAGAGGAUGAUCAGCCACACUGGAACUGAGACACGGUCCAGACUCCUACGGGAGGCAGCAGUGGGGAAUAUUGGACAAUGGGCGCAAGCCUGAUCCAGCCAUGCCGCGUGUGUGAAGAAGGCCUUCGGGUUGUAAAGCACUUUCAGUUGGGAGGAAGGGUUGUGUGUUAAUAGUACACAGCCUUGACGUUACCAACAGAAGAAGCACCGGCUAACUCUGUGCCAGCCGCCGCCGUAACAC